rnacentral:tRNA from 1 species
GUUUUUGUAGUUGAAAGACAACGGUGGUGUUUCAAACCACUGGUCUUGGUUAAAGUCCUAGCAGAAACU